GAUGAACGCUAGCGGCAGGCUUAACACAUGCAAGUCGAACGGAGAUAUGAUUUCGGUUGUAUCUUAGUGGCGAACGGGUGAGUAACGCGUGAGCAACCUGACUCUUAGAGGGGGAUAACACCCGGAAACGAGUGCUAAUACCGCAUAAGACCACGACAUGGCAUCAUGACGAGGUCAAAGGAGCAAUCCGCUGAGAGAGGGGCUCGCGUCCCAUUAGAUAGAUGGCGGGGUAAUGGCCCACCAUGUCAGCGAUGGGUAGCCGAGCUGAGAGGCUGAUCGGCCACACUGGAACUGAGACACGGUCCAGACUCCUACGGGAGGCAGCAGUGGGGAAUAUUGGGCAAUGGGCGCAAGCCUGACCCAGCAACGCCGCGUGAGGGAAGAAGGCUUUCGGGUUGUAAACCUCUGUCCUUGGUGACGAAAAAAUGACGGUAGCCAAGGAGGAAGCCCCGGCUAACUACGUGCCAGCAGCCGCGGUAAAACGUCUA
rnacentral:rRNA from 1 species